GGUGGUGGUUAUCAUAGGCGAUUGAUUUUGAAACGUUUCAACUUCAACCCGUAACAGGUAAUCCCUAAGCUUAGAUGGUUUGGAGCUGCGAGGGACUCGGAGAUGGCCACACUACUAUUUCUAGUUCUUUAAAUUGCAAUAAGUAGCCGAUUUAUUUCUUUAUAAGUUUUAUCUUAUUAAUAUUAUUAUUUGGUUUUGGGUUGUAAUAAGGCCAUUUUAAUUAUUUUUCUGGGAUUAUUUUAUUUUAUACCCUAUAUUUUUCUGAUAACAA